rnacentral:rRNA from 1 species
AGAAUCAACGCUGGCGGCGUGCCUAACACAUGCAAGUCGAACGAGAAAGUGGGAGCAAUCCCACGAGUAAAGUGGCGCACGGGUGAGUAACACGUGACUAACCUACCCUUGAGUGGGGGGAUAACCUAGGGAAACCUGGGCUAAUACCGCAUAAUACCUACGGGUCAAAGGAGCAAUUCGCUUAAGGAGGGGGUCGCGGCAGAUUAGUUAGUUGGCGGGGUAAUGGCCCACCAAGACAGUGAUCUGUAUCCGGCCUGAGAGGGCGCACGGACACACUGGAACUGAAACACGGUCCAGACUCCUACGGGAGGCAGUAGUGGGGAAUUUUGCGCAAUGGGGAAACCCUGACGCAGCAACGCCGCGUGGAGGAUGAAGCCCUUGGGGCGUAAACUCCUUUCGAUCGGGAAGAUAAUGACGGUACCGGAAGAAGAAGCCCCGGCUAACUUCGUGCCAGCAGCCGC